rnacentral:lncRNA from 1 species
UCUCUAGUAUCACACAAUGAAAAGUUCUCUCUUGUUGGCACACAAAAUUAUGGUCAUUUUAUGGUUGUCGCACAAACCAGGUAAGACAGGAUAAGAGCCAGAGUUUGUUGCAAUUCAAACCAUUUUAAAUUUCAAUUUAUCUUCAACUUUUUCUCACUCUUAUCUGACUUAAAGAGAGACUUAUAAGAGAAAAUUGGGUAUAAAAAACCAUCAGAAAGACUUCCUUUUCUUACACACAAUAGGCCCC